rnacentral:SRP_RNA from 1 species
UGGCAAGCUAGCUUGGGUGGUUCGGCGUCACCUAUAACCUGAAAUCGUCGAUAUGCAGGAAGCGAAGCCAAGGGAAGGCGUUUCAAUUACCAUUCAAGCCCAAUAACUUUACUAUGAAACUCCGUCCUAUGGGGAUGGCGUUGAUAGGAGGGCUUAUUGGAGAAUAGGUUUUCCUAUCUUUACUACAAGCACCGGUUUAGGCCCGGAAGGGAGCGGACCUAUUGUAGACAACCAUCGCUCAUGGGGGCGCGGAGUGGAGAAGAGUUCUUGGAUCACUGUUUGGUAAAAGGGCGUCAACCUGCGGCGUGCUUGCCA